AAAUUGAAGAGUUUGAUCAUGGCUCAGAUUGAACGCUGGCGGCAGGCCUAACACAUGCAAGUCGAACGGUAACAGAAAGCAGCUUGCUUCUUUGCUGACGAGUGGCGGACGGGUGAGUAAUGUCUGGGAAACUGCCUGAUGGAGGGGGAUAACUACUGGAAACGGUAGCUAAUACCGCAUAACGUCGCAAGACCAAAGA
rnacentral:rRNA from 1 species